UAGUCAACCUACCCUAUGGACGAGAAUAAUCUCGGGAAACUGAGCAUAAUUCUUGAUAGAUCAUAAUGCCUGGAAUGGUUUAUGGUUAAAAUGACUCGUCGCCAUAGGAUGGGACUGCGGCCUAUCAGCUUGUUGGUGAGGUAAUGGCCCACCAAGGCGAUUACAGGUACGGGCUCUGAGAGGAGAAGCCCGGAGAUGGGUACUGAGACACGGACCCAGGCCCUAUGGGGCGCAGCAGGCGAGAAAACUUUGCAAUGUGCGAAAGCACGACAAGGUUAAUCCGAGUGAUUUCUGCUAAAGAAAUCUUUUGCCAGUCGUAAAACCGCUGGUGAAUAAGGGGUGGGCAAGUUCUGGUGUCAGCCGCCGCGGUAAAACCAGCACCUCAAGUGGUCAGGAUGAUUAUUGGGCCUAAAGCAUCCGUAGCCGGCUUUGUAAGUUUUCGGUUAAAUCCAUGUGCUCAACGCAUGGGCUGCCGAAAAUACUGCAUGGCUAGGGAGUGGGAGAGGUAGACGGUACUCAGUAGGUAGGGGUAAAAUCCUUUGAUCUAUUGAUGACCACCUGUGGCGAAGGCGGUCUACCAGAACACGUUCGACGGUGAGGGAUGAAAGCUGGGGGAGCAAACCGGAUUAGAUACCCGGGUAGUCCCAGCUGUAAACGAUGCAGACUAGAUGAUGCAUUGGCAUAAUAGCCAUUGCAGUGUCUCAGGGAAGCCGUUAAGUCUGCCGCCUGGGAAGUACGUACGCAAGUAUGAAACUUAAAGGAAUUGGCGGGGGAGCACCACAAGGGGUGAAGCCUGCGGUUCAAU
rnacentral:rRNA from 1 species